ensembl:lncRNA
AAAACAAAAGUAGGAUAAUAAAUAAAAGUAAUGUAACAGUGUAUUUUUUGUACAAAUAUGAAAUGGUAUGUAUUAAUGUUAGGAAAAGAUGAAGAAAUGUAAUUUGAUAAAUCACACGAUUUUUCUGUGGUUAACGAUUAAUCGCAUUAUGUGCAAAAUGCAAUAUUGAGGCAUCGUGAGGAUCUAUUUUUCUUUUUACAGGCUUAACAUACAGAAUAUGAAUGUGUUUCCUUUCUUUAUGAACAGGAACCAGAAUAAACAUUAGUCUUUGAUGACGAGCAGCAUGAUGCUUAAUGCAGAAUAUGUUCAGUAGUCAGAGUCUCUGUUAGAGGAGCUGAAGGUCUAGAACAAAAAACAAAAGUAUGUCAACCGUUGAUCCUCUGAUUGGACUCUACACCCACAGUCUCCCUGACACUUCAUGUAACCAUUGACUUACAUUCAUGCUGUGAUGUCAGAAGGUGAAUCAGUUUGGUCCUGAUGAAACUAAACUAACUGACCUUCACACAAACAACGAGGGCUCAGCGUUCACCAGCUGGGCUCCCUGAGUCACACGUGUCUCUGUGGACUCACUGAUACCUUCAUGCUGCUGUUGGUCCAUGAGACACACAGGAGACAUCCAAAGAUCCAGAUGUGUCUCAGCUGGACUUCAGUCAGAACAACUCAGACUGUUUCUGUGCAAAAUCUUAAAGGAUCAAUCACUUGAAUUGUGUUUCUGGUGUAUCGUAUGUUCUGCUGAUCACUGGUCUUGUUUGAAAAGCAGAGAUAAAAAAAAUAAACAACCAGUAGAGCUGCUGUCAGUCCCAGUGCACAGUAGAGGCCGAUCCAUCUCAGUCUGGUAUCAGUCGUUGUCUCAGGUUCGGGUCGAUCCUUCACUGCUGCAAAGAGACACAACAAAUCUGUUUAUUAAUGUAAAGAAAAAGGUUUAUUUAUCUGAAUAAAGCUGCUGAAUUAAACGUGUUAGUAAGUUUAACUUAAUGAACCUACCAGUGACAUUGAGGUGACAUUCCUUAAAGUUCUUCCCAUAACUUGUGUCCACUUGACACCAGUACAGCCCCGAGUCAUUAGUCUGGAGUCUGGAGAUGUGAAGUCUGAGUCGUCCUUCUCUGAGGACGUCUUUGUCCCACUGGACUCGUCCUGCAAAGCGUUUAUCCUGCAUCUCUGGGACCUCGACACCGUCAUGUAGCUCAAACAGGGUAAAGGGUCUCUCAUCAGCUAACAUCUCACAGGAGACAUGAAGGGCGUUGGGGGAGGGGUCCGUGCUGGUGGGGAACAUCCAUUCCAGUGAGAUGUUGUGGUUCUCCUCUGCAUGAUACCAGCUCUGUGUCACAUUCACUACAAAUGACCC